AGAAUCAACGCUGGCGGCGUGCCUAACACAUGCAAGUCGCACGAGAAAGGGGAGCAAUCCCUGAGUACAGUGGCGCACGGGUGAGUAACACGUGAAUAAUCUACCUCCGAGUGGGGAAUAACUGAGAGAAAUCUUAGCUAAUACCGCAUAACACUUACGAGUCAAAGCAGCAAUGCGCUUGGAGAGGAGUUCGCGGCCGAUUAGUUAGUUGGCGGGGUAAUGGCCCACCAAGACGAUGAUCGGUAUCCGGCCUGAGAGGGCGCACGGACACACUGGAACUGAAACACGGUCCAGACUCCUACGGGAGGCAGCAGUGGGGAAUUUUGCGCAAUGGGGGAAACCCUGACGCAGCAACGCCGCGUGGAGGAUGAAGCCCCUUGGGGUGUAAACUCCUUUCGAUCGGGAAGAUAAUGACGGUACCGAUAUAAGAGCCCGGCUAACUUCGUGCCAGCAGCCGC
rnacentral:rRNA from 1 species